GCCCGAGUGGCGGAAUAGGUAGACGCAAGGGACUUAAAAUCCCUCGAGAAUUAAAUCUCGUGCCGGUUCGAUUCCGGCCUUGGGCACCA
rnacentral:tRNA from 1 species